rnacentral:rRNA from 1 species
CCUACGGGCGGCUGCAGUGAGGAAUAUUGGUCAAUGGACGAGAGUCUGAACCAGCCAAGUAGCGUGAAGGAUGACUGCCCUAUGGGUUGUAAACUUCUUUUAUAAAGGAAUAAAACGAGGCACGUGUGCCUUUUUGCAUGUACUUUAUGAAUAAGGAUCGGCUAACUCCGUGCCAGCAGCCGCGGUAAUACGGAGGAUCCGAGCGUUAUCCGGAUUUAUUGGGUUUAAAGGGAGCGUAGAUGGGUUGUUAAGUCAGUUGUGAAAGUUUGCGGCUCAACCGUAAAAUUGCAAUUGAUACUGGCAGUCGUGAGUACAGUUGAGGUAAGCGGAAUUCGUGGUGUAGCGGUGAAAUGCUUAGAUAUCACGAAGAACCCCGAUUGCGAAGGCAGCUUACUAAACUGUGACUGACAUUGAUGCUCGAAAGUGUGGGUAUCAAACAGGAUUAGAUACCCGUGUAGUC